rnacentral:rRNA from 1 species
UACGGAGGGUGCAAGCGUUAAUCGGAAUUACUGGGCGUAAAGCGCACGCAGGUGGCUGAGUCAGUCGAUUGUGAAAGCCCUGGGCUUAACCUGGGAAUUGCAGUCGAUACUACUCAGCUAGAGUAUGGGAGAGGGUAGUGGAAUUCCCGGUGUAGCGGUGGAAAUGCGUAGAUAUCGGGAGGAACAUCAGUGGCGAAGGCGGCUACCUGGCC